UAGAUAUGGUAAGUGUUACUAUCCUCAAGGAGAUAGGUUGGUUAGACUUGGUAAGUGUUACUAUCCUCAAGGAGAUAGGUUGGUUAGAUUUGGUAAGUGUUACUAUCCUCAAGGAGAUAGGUUGGUUAGAUUUGGUAAGUGUUACUAUCCUCAAGGAGAUAGGUUGGUUAGAUUUGGUAAGUGUUACUAUCCUCAAGGAGAUAGGUUGGUUAGAUUUGGUAAGUGUUACUAUCCUCAAGGAGAUAGGUUGGUUAGAUUUGGUAAGUGUUACUAUCCUCAAGGAGAUAGGUUGGUUAGAUAUGGUAAGUGUUACUAUCCUCAAGGAGAUAGGUUGGUUAGAUUUGGUAAGUGUUACUAUCCUCAAGGAGAUAGGUUGGUUAGAUUUGGUAAGUGUUACUAUCCUCAAGGAGAUAGGUUGGUUAGAUUUGGUAAGUGUUACUAUCCUCAAGGAGAUAGGUUGGUUAGAUAUGGUAAGUGUUACUAUCCUCAAGGAGAUAGGUUGGUUAGACUUGGUAAGUGUUACUAUCCUCAAGGAGAGGGGUUGGUUAGAUAUGGUAAAUGUUAGUAUCUGCGUGUUGAUUGUAGCCUUUGUCAAAGCGCUCUAGCUAGAGCUGGCCUCACCCAAAUGGCUGUUGCGCAGUUGUGUCCCUGAAAAUGUGCAUAAAGAUGAUCUCCUGUAGCUUAUUGUG